rnacentral:rRNA from 17 species
GGCGAGCGAAAUGGAAACAGCCCAAACCAGAUUUGUUUCGGCAAAUCUGGGGUUGUAGGACUACAAUGUGGACUAUAAAGACGAAUUAGAACGACUUGGGAAAGUCGGCCAAAGAGGGUGAGAGCCCCGUAUAAGUAAGGCUUUAUUACCUAGUAGUAUCCUGAGUAGGGCGGGACAUGUGUAAUCCUGUCUGAAUCUGCCGGAACCAUCCGGUAAGGCUAAAUACUCCUGAGAGACCGAUAGUGAACUAGUACCGUGAGGGAAAGGUGAAAAGUACCCUGAAUAAGGGAGUGAAAUAGUACCUGAAACCGUGUGCUUACAAGCGGUCGGAGCUGCAUUUAUGUAGUGACGGCGUGCCUUUUGUAUAAUGAGCCUACGAGUUGCUCCU